rnacentral:rRNA from 1 species
GACGAACGCUGGCGGCGUGCUUAACACAUGCAAGUCGAACGGAAAGGCCCUGCUUUUGUGGGGUGCUCGAGUGGCGAACGGGUGAGUAACACGUGAGUCACCUGCCCUUGACUUUGGGAUAACUUCAGGAAACUGGGGCUAAUACCGGAUAGGAGCUCCUGCUGCAUGGUGGGGGUUGGAAAGUUUCGGCGGUUGGGGAUGGACUCGCGGCUUAUCAGCUUGUUGGUGGGGUAGUGGCUUACCAAGGCUUUGACGGGUAGCCGGCCUGAGAGGGUGACCGGCCACAUUGGGACUGAGAUACGGCCCAGACUCCUACGGGAGGCAGCAGUGGGGAAUAUUGCACAAUGGGCGGAAGCCUGAUGCAGCAACGCCGCGUGCGGGAUGACGGCCUUCGGGUUGUAAACCGCUUUCGCCUGUGACGAAGCGAGAGUGACGGUAAUGGGUAAAGAAGCACCGGCUAACUACGUG